rnacentral:piRNA from 1 species
UGAGAUGUCCUUGUUCGAGGUUUCCUCAGG